AGGUCUCCCUGGAAGACAGGCCCAUGAGGAGCUGAAGAAAGAAGUGGGAGGACAGAGGAGAACUCACACAAGGUAUUUGGAGGAGGAAGAAUUCAGAUUGGAAAAUAAAAAUAAGGUGGACAUGAAGUGGUUGCCUUCUUAUGAACUCCCUGCAAGGGAAACAGAGCCCAGAGGCAAUAGCCUAGUUUUCAAGAGACUCCAUGGUCUCCUAAGUCUUAUCCAGUGUGCUUUACCCUCCAGACCAGGCUGGAAUCUGAGCUUGGGAUCCUCUCCGGCUCAAAAGCCUUCCAUGACUCCCUUUGGCUGCCAUAUUUAGUCUCAGCUCAUUGGCCACUCUUUCAAGGACCUUCAUCCUUGAAGCAUAACUCAUUUCUCUUGCCCAAAAUCAUCCCCUCCUCUCUAGGCCAGCAUGAGCUCUGUGUAUUCCUCUCUUAAGAUGCUCCUUUACCCAAUUUUCUUCCCUCCUUGCCUUUCAUAGCCAAUCUUCCCUAAAAUAUAAGGCCCAAACACUAUGAACUUUUUUCAGGAGGCUCUCCCAGAUUCCACCCCAUGCUGACUCUUCCUUUCACUAGAUUCCUGUGGACACUGUUUCUCAUGGGUUUACUGGCCCUUUUCACCUAGUUGGGAGUCCCGGGAGGAUAGGGUGCUUCUCCCAUGGCAUGACUGAGCACAGAACUUGUUCACAGCAGAUACUUAUUCAAGUAUGAGGCUGCUAGUUUCUCAAACACAUUGAUUCUGCCACUGCUCUGAGCAACUAGACCUCUCUCCAGGAAUCAGCAAUGAGUUGCCUUGAAGAAACACCCCAGAGAGUCUCAUUUCAAAAAAUCACUGACUUUGCCACCAAAUUUUUCCCUGAAGUGACACUGUGGAGUCCCCAUUGUGGAGAGUCAUACACCUUACUACAGGCAGAAAAUCAAGGUGGUUAGCAGGAAAAUGAGACCCAGGUGCCCAAAACACUGAGCAGAAGGGAGCAAGGCCUGUAACUCCAAAGUUUAGAAUGAAGAGGUUAGAGAAGGAAAGCAGGAGAUGGGACAGAAUGCACAGAACAGCAUAUGGGACCUGGACUUUGAACGAUGGGUAGAAUUUUGAUCAGGGUUAACGGAAAUAUGAUGAACACCUGCCAAUAGUAGAUGUCCACAAUCUGAGCUAGCAAAUGUGAUGGAGGCUGGAAGGCAAUCAUGUGUGAGACAAAAACAGCAACAGCUGCUGCCGCUCAAAGGCAAGUCUGAAGAAAGAAAAUUGGAAUCAGAAAAGGGAAGAGUUUUUGAGGAAAACCUUUGGGAGGAAGCCUCUAGAAGGCCCAUAUUUCUUAUCCUAAAGCUCUAUCUACCCAAAUGGGGACAGGUGGGCAAAGGUUAGGGGUACGAGGAUAGAAGUUUCUUGGUGGUGAGUGGUCAAGGUGAGAAUGUCCUUACUGCUUUCCUGCCAACUCUCCUCACUGGCCUCUGCCCCUGAAAGACGCAGAGCAGAGAGAAGUCACAGUCGGUUACCUUGGGCAUUUCUGCCUUGAAUAAGGAGAAAUAGUCUUUGGUGCCAAUUAAUUAAGCAAACUGAUAGAAAUUCCCUGCUUAAGUCACACUUUGCAUAUCCACAAUCUCUGCACUACAUUUUCUGUAUACUUUACCCCUGGGUAAAAAUUGGUGAGCAUUUAAAUGCUUCCUCACAUAAUCUUGCUAAAGCACACUCUUGCCUAUAAAUAUUCAUGCCACUGCCAAAACAUUUGCAAGCUUUCCCCAAAGGUGAAAUGUGUGUAAUGUACUUUGUCUUCUGGGUAUAAAUAUUAUCCAAUACAUUUUGGUUAAUAUGAAUACACUAAUUAUUCCUGCAACCCUUUUAAAAAGGGUCAUCUUCAUGAUGUGAAUUUUUUAAAAAUGUAAUUACAAUAAUUGGAUACUUAAUCUAAUUAAAAUUUGCUUUAUCUUUAAUGGGAAUUUGUCUAAAGAGGCAGAAUGACAAUUGGCUUUUUGAUAAUGACUGUUUUCUUUCUUCAGGGGAUCAAGUUGGUGAAAACUGGAGAACCAGGCAGGUUUGUGUCUGCCAGUUCCCUGGUUACUGGGCAGAGCAAGGCCAGUCUCUCUUCUUCUUAUAAUUCACUACUUAAGUAGCAAACAUGGGUUGUGGUUACUGGAAAAGGACUAGGGGAACCUUUUGUAUUCCAACAGAUGAAGCUGCUCCUCUUCCUAGGAAGCAGUCCUUUGUUCCCCUGGACCUGUGAUUGAUCCACAGCAGGCAUGUGAUCUAAGCCUGAUAGAUCAGGUCCCUCGCUGGGCUUGCUGCAGCGGGAGAAGCAGCAGCUCCAUGCUGCUUU
rnacentral:lncRNA from 1 species